AAAGAGGUUGCUAUAGAUUGAAUAUUUGUGUCUCCCCCUCACCAAAAUCCAUAUGUUGAAACCCAGCUCCCCCAAAUGAUGGGGCCUCUGGGAGGUGAUUAGAUCGUGAGGGUGAAUGGGGUUGAAUGAAUCCCACAUGAAUGGGAUUUGCCCUCAUAACAAAGACACCAGCCAGCUCCCCCAGCCCUUCUGCCAUGAGAGGAUGCAGCAAGAAGACACAGCUGUCUGUGAACCAGGAAGCAGGACCUCACCUGACACCAUAUCUUCCGACACCUUGAUCUUGGACUUCCCAACCUCCAGAACUGUGGGAACUCUCCAUCCAGCCCCAUACAACAAAGAAGAGGAAUUUAAGGUCCAACCAAAACUGGAAAAGGAGAGGGAAAACUCUCACACUGAUGUGUGGGGGAUGGAUUGAAGCACCGCCCCCCACCCAUCAGAUCACAUGGCUUAAAUAAGGACUGGCCCACCCUCCCCUUGCGCAUUAAGUGCGUGGCUCCUCUCUGCUAAUGGCAACGAGAACAGCCAGUUUUACUCCUGUGGGAGUUAGGAGGCAUGCAAACUGACCGAACACCUUCCAACAAGGGCGGUGAUUCACACUUACUGAAGGCUCACUUGCUAUCUUGUUUGGAUUUCCCUGUUCACGCUACUCCAAGGAGAAGACAUGGGAAUCACCAUCGACAUUUUAUGGCCAAAGAACCCCAGGCAACCGGCCAGCCCUCAAGGUCUCCCAGGAAGGGAGGCGGUCUUUGACCCAGACCCAGUGUCGCCUCCAUCAUGCCUCCUUGACCUUGAAACCAUGCCUCCUUGAUCUUGAAGGCUCCUCCAGAAAAAGGAACACUGGCUCCAAGGCAUAAUCAAAGGAGAUGUGCAGCAUUCCUAAGCACAGUCAGACAUUUCCUGGGAGUACAGGAGCUUCAGCUUGAUCAUUAGUUGUCACAACUUCACUGGCCUCCAUCAGCAGAGCUAGCCAUGCCUCUGACUUUGAAAACAAAGGAUGCAGAAAAGCAGAGAUGCCUCCCACUUAUAAAAGUAUGUGAAGCCUGUAGUCUGAUGAUAUUAUUUUAGUAUCCAUCAUACAGUACUUUCUAGGAGAAGGCAAUGGCACCCCACUCCAGUCCUUUUGCCUGGGAAAUCCCAUGGGCGGAGGAGCCUGGUAGGCUGCAGUCCAUGGGGUCGCUAGGAGUCAGACACGACUGAGCGACUUCACUUUCACUUUUCACUUUGAUGCAUUGGAGAAGGAAAUGGCAACCCACUCCAGUGUUCUUGCCUGGAGAAUGCCGGGGAUGGAGGAGCCUGGUGGGCUGCCGUCUAUGGGGUCGCACACAGUCGGACACGACUGAAGCGACUUAGCAGCAGCAGCAGCAUACUUUACAUCUUUCUCCCUUCCUCCAGGGCACUUGUAAACAAGGGAUAUAUAUGUUACAUUUCUCCUCCAUGCCUUGGUCUAGUCCUCACUCUGACAUUCCCAGCCAAAGUAGAUUAACUCAGAAGUUGGCAGUCUCUCCUGCUGGCCUGUGUCCGUGCUUAUAUAUGUGUGUGUGUGCAC
ensembl:lncRNA